UUGAUCGACACUCUCCUGAUUCCGACCAUGCCCAUCGCCCCGAAACCCUAGCCCCCACUCCAUCUCGCCAUGCCACCACGUUCGUCCCUCCAGUCACUCCUCCUCAUGGCGGGCUCCACCUCCGUCGGCACUGGGGGCUCGGGCGUUCUCCUCGCCGCGCGCCGCCGCUUCCCCACCACUUCGGGGGCCCAACACAUCCGCCUCCUCCACUCCUUCUCGUCCCGGCCCCUCCUCCCCCGGCGGGCCGAGCUCGCCUGCUGCUUCGGGACCGCCCCCGCCGAGGCCGUGCCCACCGCCGGUUACUGAUGAGAUCGCUGGUGGUGUACCAACCGGCCAUGGCCGACUCGCCACCCGUGCUUCCCACGGACGUGCCGAGCCAAUCGUUCUCCGUUUCCCCGGGUCUGGGCUGCGCCUAGGUCAGAGCCACUGACUCUCUGAUGGGCGGCGCUUAUCCACCGACGCCACCGACCACAUACCUCGACGCGCUGCAGCAAGUGCCUCACUGCGAGAUGGCGGAAGUGGCCUGGAUGGUUCAUGUGGCGGCAUGGUGCGGCGGCAAGCCGUCCACGGCAUGGUCUGUGGAGGAGGACCAGCUGUUGCUCUGAGGUCUCUCCCGGUUUGCCGGCCAAGACAAUGUCAUAAAGUGCCUCAACAUCUCAUAUGGGCUAGCUGAGAAGACCGUGCUUGAUGUCGCGUAUCGCAACCGGUGGCUGUCAGACUUGGAGAAGAAGAAGAAGAAAGCUGCUAAGGGAGUUCAAUUGGGGCAAGAAAAAUCUGCAGGAGGAAAUGUUACCAAGGUAAUUGCAUUGGAGUGUGCUUUUGAAUGGCAUGUUUACAGAACUCUAUAGCUUAGCAGAUUGGUCUGGAACAUUUUAAGAACACAAAAAAAAAUUUAGUAAAUGAGCUCCAAUCAAACAUAUGGUUGUUCACAGGUUCAGUAUUGUUUGACUGAACUUGAAAAAUUAGUAUCACAGGAGAUCUGCAAACUGAAACAUAUAUAGGAGUAGUAUUCUAUCAUCCAUUAUCAUUUAAGUUCUACUCGAACUCAUCGUAAUCAGAUUCAGACCUCCAAUAGUAUCCAACCAUGAAACAGAACAAAAAUAUCCUCUAUACAGGUUAUGACCGUGAAGAUAAGUUACUGGUUCGUAGAUUCAGACAGUUCACUGCUGCACUUCACUGCCCAAUUUGAACGCUCACACCUGGGCACGAACGGGUUGGUACAGCUGUACGAAACCAUGUAUGUACAAGGGCAUCAAAGACGAGAUAUUUCUCCCAUCUGCUAUGAACUACGUAGGUCUUUUGUAGAGCAAUUGGCAGUACCAUAAUGUAGAUAGCAUGUUGGAUACAACUGACUCAACUAUGGCUUGGAGUUGAAGCUAUUGAGCAGGGGCAAUGGGCUAUAUAUGGAUGGUCUAUAGGUCCAAAUGUUUAUGAAUGUUCUGAAGUUUACUACUGCACAGUAUAUCAUCUUCAUAUUGUCUUACCAAAUGGUAGGAAAAUAUGUAUCCAUAGGGCAAUUUUACUGCCUGGUGGUUGUUAAGAAGCCGUAGAAGUAUUUUUAAGGAAACCCGCAAGGGAGAAAUGAUAGACAUUUGCAAGUUGACUAUGCAUAAGUGCCAGACAUGCUAUGUCCAUGUUUUAUCUUCCUAGGUGGUCUUGUCUCAUCAAGCUCUUGAUGUAAAAUGUCCUCAUAUAACACAUCUAUGCAUGCUUACAAACUGUAGCAGUUUCUAGCUUUUUAUGGUGAGCCGCUAAGAAACUGUACCUUAUCCCUAAUGCUUUCCAUGACAAAUAGUUGAUGGUGUAUAUGUGUAACACGUGGAGAAUAUUAAUGCAAGACAUAAUAUGAGUUCGUGUAGCAGGUUCAUUUGUUUGUAGCUCCUGGAAAAAGUAGUAGUGCUUGAGAUCGAUAACAAUAGAUUUUACCUCUUAAUUGUUCUCGAAACUCUUAGCUGGGCACUACAUCCUUGUUGUAACAAAAACACCAGGAGCUGAAAAUUCAGUUAAAACAUACCACCAUUUGUACACUAUAAAUCUUCUAAAGCAACUAGGAGCUCAGAGAUUAAUGACUCGCUAAUUGUUCUUCACGGAUAAGCAUGCUCAUUUCUUUGACUCCAUCGAGCUUAGUAAUUUGUGCCCCACAAUUCUUCACUUACUAAUAUGAUGAGCUAUUGGUGUUAUUGCUAUACAAAAUUGUUCUAAUAUUUUAGCUUGUCUGUCUCAAUACAAUAUUACAUAGGUGAUGGCUUGUUAAUAGAAAUCACUCACUUUUUCGUUUUCGUAUAUUUAUUCCCGUAGCUACUGUACAACACAACAUGCAAGGAAAUAUAUGUCUGUUGAAAUUCAAUUUUAAUUAUUCUUUGUUCUGUACAUAAAUCUUUUGGAUGAAGUGGCAGUCAAACCAUCAAAGAAACUAAGAACAUAUUCCAGUGUGUGCAUUAUUUGAGGGCCACAAAACUCUUCUUCUGUAUGAAAUAUUGUCUCUUAGUACCAGUAUGAUAUCACAAUCUUGACUAAAGCAUUUGAAUUUAAGCUAGUAGAUAUUGAUCUCUGUGAUUGAAAUGUGUCUGUUUAAUACCUCUAAACUCGCAAUUUCAUUCAGGAUUAGGAUACUUCUUAGUGUAGCAUUGUAGCUUUAUUUUUAAACGAUCAGAUUACCUUUGGUAUCCAGCAUCAGCCAAACUAUGUUGUAUAUCUUUCGUAGUAAAUGUAUCAUCUUAAGAGUGUACUGAAGCUAUAUUAAUUCGUAGGCUUUCUCCAUGGUUAAUAUAAGUUAUGUAACUAUAGGCUUUCCCCAUGGUUAAUAUAAGUUAUGUAAAGCAAUGUUUACUUGGAAGUGUAACUGUACUGCCAUUCUCAUCUUUUAAUAUAUAGCGACGGUGCUGCCGCACUUGUGCUAGUUAGUAGGGAGAAAGCUAAGAACCUUGGCCUUCAAGUUCUUGCAAGGACAAGAGGGUAGGCUGAUGCUGCUCAGGUAAAUCUUACAUGCCUCGUCAUUAAUCAUUGUUGGUGAAACAAAUGUCAUUUGAGAAAUCUCGGCCUAUUGUUCUUGUUAAUGAAUACGGUUACCAACAUUAUCCUUUCAUGUGUCUCAAAACUGUCAACCUGACUCAUAGAAUGAUCUUUUUCUUUAGGAUUCAUGGUUAGUUUUUUCUUUUUUCUUGUUAUUAUGCAUUACUAUGAGUUCAUUGUAUUAAGAUUCCUUACAACUUCAGGCACAUGAGCUAUUUACCUGGCCUUCUUCACGGCUCGCGGCAGUGUCUUCCUUUGAUUCGUUCGUGCAACAAGGAGGGGACGCGCCCUUCUUCAUGUCUCGUGCAACAAGGGUGAUUGGCGCAGAGUACCGCUGCCCGGUGGGUGUCAUGCUCUUCAACCACUUGGAGGUGGAGUUCGCCGCGAAGCUCGGCGACUACGUCGCAUAGAUGAUCGUCCAGGUGAUUGUGAAACCAGAGGUCACCGAGGUGGAGGACUUCGAUACCACCGUUUGGGGGGAGGGAGGAUUUGGGUCCACCGGCGUCUGAACUCCGAGCCUUGGUAGAUACAUCUAGAGAAGUGGUAUGUUUAGGCUGCUGGUUGAACACUAGGAAAGGUACCCACCUUUGGUUGUGUGCGUUUACUGUUAAAUGGAAUCUUGUGAUCUCUUCCAGUUGAGAUGUUCAUUGUUGCAUCCAUGAACGGUGCAAGUGUUAAAAUGGUCCUGUGACCUUAAUUUA